rnacentral:lncRNA from 13 species
GUUGUCCAUGGAUAUACCGUAUUGUAUAAUGUUCCGGAAAAGUUUCCGUCUUUCUUCAGUUACAUUCAGCAGAAAAAACACACAUCUGUAAUUGCCGUAUCAGGCCUGCAUAGUUAGUUACCUCUUCCCCUUGACUUAACAAAAUGACAUCAUUUUGGAAUCUAUGAGAAUAUCUGGCAGACUGUCCCAUUUAUUUUCCUUUGGUGGGGUGGGAUGGGGGGUGGACCCCCAACUCUCUCUCAAUUUCCUUCUCUCUCCAUCUCUCUCUCUUUACAUCCUCCACCACUCUGUCUUUUUUGGGAGGGGUGGGAUAGGGGGUGGACUCACCCGACUCUCUCUCCCUCUUCAUCUCUCUCUCUCUCCUCUUCAUCUCUUUCUUUUUCUCCACCUCUUUCUCAAUUAACCCCCCCCUCUCUCUCUUUUAGGCAACCAUGUUUUUAUGGCAGGAGUCAACCAAAUAAAAGCAGCCCCACCAGUCUGUGGGGGAGAAAAGCCGCUGGUUCAAUGAAGUGAUCUAUUCAACUCAGUGUUUCUCUCUCUUGCUCUCUUCAUUAAUUACAUACUGUUGUGCCUUUUCAUCCUUUCCGUCUUUUGUUUUCUGUCUCUCUUACUUUUUAUUCCCCUCCUUCUUUCUCUGGCUGGCUGAGCUCUGACAAGGGGAUAGAAUCAAGAGUUUGGGAGAGGAGAGGGACAUUUGGGAGCGAGAUGGCGAGUGGGACGGUGGGGUUGUUCCUGUAUGGAUUCCUGCUCCUGUCUCUGUGGAAACCUUCACUGCAAGGAGGUGUGUACAUACCUGCUGGUGUAGGUGAAGGAGCUGGGACUGGAUUAGGAGCUGGAGCAGGAGUCAGAGCUGGAUUUGGUCCAGGUGGAGCUGGCACCGGUUUUGGGCCUGGUGGUGUAGGCACUGGAUAUGGGCCAGGUGGCGGAGCCGGAGUUGGACCAGGAGUUGGACCAGGAGGUGUAGGUGGAGCUGGCGCUGGUCCAGGUGGUGCAGGCUUUGGCCCUGGAGCCGGUGGAGGUUACACCAAGCCAGGGAAGACGGGAGCUGGCUAUGGUGGUCAGGUUGUAGGCCAAGGCCAAGGAGGACUGGGGACUGGAGGUCUGGGGGAAGGAAGAGUUAGACCAGAAGGAGCUGGGGCCGGACCAGGAGGUUAUGGACAUGGCGGUGGUUUAGGAGCUGGAGGCCUUGGAGCAGGAGCUGGCAAUGGAGGUUGGGGUCCUGGAGGACAGGGGGCUGGACUAGGAGCUGGAGGUCUGGGAGGAGGAGGUCUUAGACCAGGAGCCAGACCAGGAGGUUAUGGACCAGGUGGUUAUGGGCCUGGAGCUGGUCUUAGUCUGGGCGGAGCUGUAGCUGGAGGUCUUGGUGGUGGUUACGGACUUGGCGGGGGUCUAGGUGCCGGAGGCCUUGGAGCAGGAGCUGGAGGAAAGCCAGAGAAGGCAGGAGCUGGCUACGGUGGUAGAGAUCCAGGAGGACAGGGGGCUGGACUGGGUGUUGGAGGUUUUGGACCAGGUGGCUAUGGACCAGGUGGAGCUGGUGCCGGACCAGGUGGCUAUGGGCUUGGUGUUGGUCUUGGUCCUGGGGGAGCUGGUCCUGGAGUUUUUGGUGGUGGUUAUGGACCCGAUGGAACAGGAGCUGGCUAUGUAGGUCGCAGUCCUGGGGGACAGGGGGCUGGAUUAGGAGCUGGAGGCUAUGGACCAGGUGGAGCUGGACCAGGAGGAUAUGGGCCUGGUUCUGGUGUUGGCCAGGGUGGAGCUGGUCCAGGUGGUUUUGGUGGUGGUCUUGGAGCUGGCGGACAAGGAGACACCCUUGGAGCUGGGUAUGGAGGCCUCGGAGCUGGGGGACUGGGAUCCAGAGGUACAGGUCAGGGGGCUGGAGGACUUGGAGCAGGCCAAGGUCUUGGAGCCGGCCAAGGAGAUGGAUACAGACCUGGAGGAGGCUACGGUGGUGCUGCUGGUGGUCUGUACCCUGGAGCUGGAGGGGCGGGGGCAGGCCAGAAACCUCCCAAAACAGGAGCAGGAAGCACACUAGGAGGAGAUGGAUAUGGGCCUGGUGGUGCUGGUGGAUAUGGGCCUGGUGGUGCUGGUGGAUAUGGGCCUGGUGGCGCAGGUGGACAUGGGCCUGGUGGCACAGGUGGACAUGGGCCUGGUGGCGUAGGUGGACAUGGGCCUGGUGGCGUAGGUGGACAUGGGCCUGGUGGCGCAGGAACUGGGCCUGGUGGCGCAGCAGUACCAGCUGGAGCACCAGUACUUCCACAGACUGGAGUCCCUGGGGGUGGAGCUAGAGAGAAGAGCGGUUGGAAGGCCAACAAACAAGUGCCAGGUGUUGGAGUACCUGGACUUUAUCAAGGUGGAAUAGUGCCUAGUCAAGGUUUCGGAGGGCGUGGGGUUCUACCAGGUGUUGCCACUGGAUCCGGACUUGCUCCCCAGACAGGGGCAGGUGUGCUGGGCCAGGGUGGAGUUGGAGCUGGCACUGGAGCUGGAGGUGGCCGAGGCAGUUUAAAUGGAGUGUUCCGUGGAUAUCCCCUCAUAUCACCUAAAUCUGGAGGGGCUGGAGGCAAAUCGGCUAAUUCCCAGGCCAAGCUUGCUGCUAAAUAUGCUGGAGGUGUACUUCAUCAAGGGGGCAUGGCCGGAGCAGGAGGCGUACCUAGCGGCGUACCUGGAGCAGAUGGGGUCCCUGGUUAUGGAGUUGGAGCUGGUGGUGUACCUGGUUACGGAGGUGGAGCAGGAGGCAUACCUGGAUUCGGAGGCGUAGCCAGAGCAGGAGGCGUACCUGGUUACGGGGGCGGAGCCGGACCAGGAGGCGUACCUGGGGCAGGGGGCGUCCCUGGCUCAGGUGGGUAUGGAUACCCAGGGGGUUACCCAGGUGGAGGGCGGUACCCUGGGGCUGGCCUAGGUGUAGGAGGUGCCUACCCCGGAGAAGCUGGAUCUAAGGCAGCCAAAUAUGGUCAGGGUGGAGCAGGCACUGGAGCUGGUGGUGGGCUCAGCCAGGGAGUGCCUGCAUCUGGGAUUGGAACCGGAAGACUGCCUGGUGGGGCUGGAGGGGAACCAGGAGGCGGUUACAGGCCUGGCGGUAGCUUCGGUCCUGGAGGUGGAGUUGGACCAGGUGGGGCCAGUUAUGGACCAGGUGGGGCCGGCUAUGGACCAGGUGGAGCUGGACCUGGUGGCUAUGGACCAGGUAGUGCUGGAAGUUUUGGAACAGGUGGAGGGGUUGGACCAGGUGGUGCCGGGGAAGGACAUGGUGGAGCUGGCUAUGGACCAGGUGGAGGAGUUGGUGGAGUGCCUGGUGGUGGACACAGACCUGGAGGUGGUUUACCUGGUAGUGGUGCUGGUUACGGACCUGGUGCUGGUGUUGGAGGAUAUGAUGCAAAUGCCAAAGCUCGUAAAUAUGGUAUGCUAAGUGGUGUCCUUGGGACCCCAGGAGGAGGACAGGCAGCCAGCCUGGGAGGAGUACCAGGAGGGGGAGCAGGGACUGGAGUAGGCCAGGGUGGAGUGCCUGGAUCUGGGCUUGGUGGUGGUGGAGGUGUCCCCGGUGGUUAUGGUCCUGGAGCUGGAUUUGGACCUGGUGGUGGAACUGUUGGUGGUUAUGGACCAGGAGGGGGUGCUGGGACUGGACUUGGCCAGGGAGGAGUUGGGUCCGUACCAGAUGGCUAUGGGACUGGGCCUGGUGGUUAUGGACCAGGUGGAGCCGGACAGGGUGCAGUGAAGCCAAACAAAUCAGGUUAUGGCUCCUCCUCCUCGGGUGGAGCUCUCUUUGGACCAGGUGCUGGAGCAGGUGGGGUAUCUGGUGCUGGAGCUACCGGGCGAAGAGGAGGAGUACCAGGAGGCUACGGAGUAGGAGAAGCGGGACAGUCAGGGCAGAAAUCAAAGGCACAGAAGGCAGCCAAAUACACAGCCAUGCAAGGCUUCCUGGGAGCACGCAGCUACAGAGGGGUCGCCGACUGCCAGGGUAUAUACUGCGGACGGAGGAGGAAGUGAGAGAGCAGCAAAAAGAAGUGACCUCAUCAACAACAUUGUGGUGCUACUGCAUGAUUCAAGAAUGUACUGAUUUUCAACUACUAAUAUGUCCCUUUUUUCUUUUAAAGUGUGAAUCUCGGGCAAUGGCAAAACCAGAGCCUGUUUGAUCUUUUAUUCUGAAACUGUGAUCAUGUGUUUAUUGUUCCUCACCUGUACCCCUUUAGCCCCUCCUGUGUGUACCCCAUUUACCCAUUUAGCUCCACCACGAAUCAUGUUUGUUUAAAACACUGAUACUAAGGCGUCCCACAACGGUGUGCCUCUAGACCUGUCUGUAUGCUGACUAAACUGUCUGUUUUCUGAUUAAUGUGACUAACAUCCCUCUAUAAAGCUAUGCUAUUGACACACAGGCCCAGACUUACUCAACAUUUGCACCUGCACUUUUCAAUAUACCUAGUUUUUGUUCAAGUUGUUUAGUUGCAAACAUUUACAAUAUCUGGCCCAAGGCGUCUUGAGAUAUAUAUACACACACUGCUGCCAUAAAUUAAAAUCAUAGGAGAUAUCUUUAGAGUGGUAAUCUUACAACCACCAUUUUUGAUUUAGAACUGUGUCCACUCUGAACCCCCAAAAGCAGUGUGUGUCCACAGCAACACUCAUGUUCUAACUCUGAUUCGAGUUUCAGUAGUUCUCAAAAAAAGGGAGCUUACUGCCCUUAGAGCCAUUAGUAAAGGUUUUAAGAUCUUAUAUGCAGUCGUGUAUAAUGCCUUUACAGAAUAUAUAUAUAGUAAGGUUUAGCUAAGCCACUUGCCUGAAAUAUUAUCAACAUCUUUCUGAAUGGCUGUAUAACACUGAAUUGCUGUGAGUGUUUUGAAUACUUAAUCACACUGAUAUGACUGUGUUAGUACAGCCAUAGUUGAGAUGACUGAAAAUGCAAACGUAUAUUUUCUUUGUUUAAAAUCCUCAUCUUGGCUUUACUGAGAGCAACAGUACCUACAUGACAUUUGCAGUUGAUUAAAACUAAUAUUAUAAUCAUGCUCAUCUCCACAGAUUGGCCUGUUUUCAGACCUAUCACCGUAAAACAUAAUUCUGUUAACUCAAAUUAUUUGAAAAACUGAUUGCCUUGACUCAUUAAAUUAAAGCAACACAUGUUUUGUAAGUUACCAGUACUCAGUUCAUUUAGUUUUAGUGACUUAGAAGAUUAUGUUACACAGUGAACUGUAGAGAGCAUAUAACUGCAGACUGUUGACAAAAGCCCAACGUUUUUACGCGCUUUAAUUCACCCAGGAAAUAGAAUGCAUGGGAGAGAAUGAGAGACAACAGAUGGGCCUCAACGGUGUCAUUACACAUCAGUUUAGAAAGCAAGUCUAUUUCUCUCCACAUCUACAAGAAGCAAUGCUGGUAAAAUUAGCAAAUAAAUUGCCAGAAAAUAGACUGUUUGCAUCGUUAUGUCUGGAAAUGUGAAAUGUAUAGUUAAAAAGUGUCUAUUCAGUGUUGAUCAGUUUAACUGCCAAUACAUAUUUGAAAACAAAUGCAUAGAAUUUUGAUCACAGGCAUAUAGCCUAGGCCAGGGGUCUCCAAAGUUUUUUCUAGCCUGAGUUACUUUAAGAAAAAUUUAACAUGUCGCUUCUCUUCUCCCAUUCAACUCUUCCUCUGGUCCUUAGUGUAUAAGAGAAAGUAGUGCACUGUUUUCUGUCAAUAUACCUGGUAAAAUAAGGAUUAAUAAACAACUCUAAGGGGAGACCUAUAAAGUCAGAUUUGUUUUCUCCAAAAUUAUGUUUUCAAUUUCCCAAAAUAAGUCUUCUCUGUUUACUAUUUUCUGGUUUAAGAUGUUGAUUUUACUCUCAAAAUUACAAUUGUUCAUAGAGAAGUUUGUUCUGAGGACAUGUCAAUGGUUAAAUCACAUCAGGAUACUUUUUUUGGGGGGNNNNNNNNNNGGUGGAGCUGGCUAUCAACCAGGUUAUUAUGGCUCCCAGGGUGGAGCUGGCUAUCAACCAGGUUAUUAUGGCUCCCAGGGUGGAGCUGGUUAUC